UAAGAGUUACCCACUUCUUUUCCACAUGGA
rnacentral:piRNA from 1 species